GUCUCUGUAGCGCAAUGAAUAGCGCAUUGGACUUCUAAUUUAAAGGCCGUGGAUUCGGAUCCUACCUGGGAUU